rnacentral:snRNA from 1 species
ACAUUUACACAGGGCAUUACGCAUAUCAGUGAGGAUUCGUCCGAGAUUGCGUUUUUGCUAGUUGAAAACUAUCAACUGACCGCUCUCGUUGGUCUUCGGAUCGGCGAGGAAUUUUUGACAACCUUCGUGA